UACGUAGGGGGCAAGCGUUGUCCGGAAUUAUUGGGCGUAAAGCGCGUGUAGGCGGUCCGGUAAGUCGGCUGUGAAAGUCCAGGGCUCAACCCUGGGAUGCCGGUCGAUACUGCCGGACUAGAGUUCGGAAGAGGCGAGUGGAAUUCCCGGUGUAGCGGUGAAAUGCGUAGAGCUCGGGAAGAACAUCGGUGGCGAAAGCGCUCUGCUGGACUGCAACUGACACUCAGGGACGAAAGCUAGGGGAGCGAAUGGG
rnacentral:rRNA from 1 species